rnacentral:lncRNA from 1 species
CUGUUUGAAAGGCUGAGGGUGAAGGAGCGACAGAUCUGAAAAUAGCCGGAGCUGAGGGGCCUCAGGGUCUACCCUGACUCGCUUUUCCCGGACGGUCUCCUAGGAGAGAGGCUGUGGCCAGCUGACGCGACUUCCUUCUGCUACUGAGGUGAGAAGUCUUAGGGCAGAUGCGGAUGUCCAGGGCUUCGAGACUGCUCAACAUGAAGAUGAUGAUGAUGAAGAGUUUUAUGAUGAUCCACUUCCACUUA